AGAACUUUUAACAGGACAAGCUGGAGGCUUCGGACAAAGAGAAAGGAUCUAGGAGAGGCUCGGGGAAGGGGCCAAAGAGACCAGCCCAGUCGAUGGGUUCUCUACAGGCAUGAACAUCCGGGAUCCCUGCCUGGUAUCUGUCCUCAUGAGUUCUGCUAUGUGUCUGUGGCUCUCGGGAUAUAAUGACACACUGGCCAGGCUGUGCACUUAACAGCCAUGGACAGGGGUGUUUAUAUCAGAAUCUGUGCUGAUCUUAAGCUGGUUGUUUAGGAGAGGACGACUUUAAACUUGCCUCCUUCUCGCAAGUACUGGAACAACAGAUGUGCAUCACCAUGUCAGCGAACACCAAGCUUAUGAUACAGCUUCCUGGAAGUACCUCACGUGGGAAGCAAGGAAGCAGCAGAUGAAGAGCUGGGUACAUGACCACCAGUAUCUGCUUUGGUGCAAACUCAAUUCCCAGCUGGUGAGUGAGCCUCAAGGAUCCUCUUGUCUCUACAUCGUCAACGUUAAGCUUACAGACUUGAGACAUCACAACUGUCAUUUGACGUGGGGUUCUCAACUCAGGUCUUCAGGACAGCAGGGCAAGCACAUUACAGACUGAGCCAUCUCCCCAGCCCAGGGUACCUGUUCUUAACAUCCCUCCAGGCUCUCACAUCUUGUAAACAUGAA